rnacentral:rRNA from 1 species
CAGUCGCCACGGUAAUACGAAGGGUGCAAGCGUUACUCGGAAUUACUGGGCGUAAAGCGUGCGUAGGCGGUGAGUUAAGUCUGCUGUGAAAUCCCCGGGCUCAACCUGGGAAUGGCAGUGGAUACUGGCUCGCUAGAGUGUGUCAGAGGAUGGUGGAAUUCCCGGUGUAGCGGUGAAAUGCGUAGAGAUCGGGAGGAACAUCAGUGGCGAAGGCGGCCAUCUGGGACAACACUGACGCUGAGGCACGAAAGCGUGGGGAGCAAACAGGAUUAGAUACCCCGGUAGUCCCUGUCUCUUAUAU